UUUGAUCAUGGCUCAGUAUUGAACGCUGGCGGCAGGCUUAACACAUGCAAGUCGAGCGGAAACGAAGGUAGCUUGCUACCAGGCGUCGAGCGGCGGACGGGUGAGUAAUGCUUAGGAAUCUACCGAGUAGUGAGGGAUAGCCAUUGGAAACGAUGAUUAAUACCGCAUAUAUCCUACGGGGGAAAGCAGGGGACCUUCGGGCCUUGCGCUAUUCGAUGAGCCUGAGUGAGAUUAGCUAGUUGGUGGGGUAAAGGCCUACCAAGGCGACGAUCUCUAGCUGGUCUGAGAGGAUGAUCAGCCACACUGGGACUGAGACACGGCCCAGACUCCUACGGGAGGCAGCAGUGGGGAAUAUUGCACAAUGGACGAAAGUCUGAUGCAGCCAUGCCGCGUGUGUGAAGAAGGCCUUCGGGUUGUAAAGCACUUUCAGCGAGGAGGAAAGGUCAGUAAGUAAUAUUUGCUGGCUGUGACGUUACUCGCAGAAGAAGCACCGGCUAAUUUAGUGCCAGCAGCCGCGGUAAUACUAAAGGUGCAAGCGUUAAUCGGAAUUACUGGGCGUAAAGCGCGCGUAGGUGGUUUGUUAAGUUGGAUGUGAAAGCCCAGGGCUCAACCUUGGAACUGCAUUCAAAACUGACUCACUAGAGUACGAGAGAGGUUAGUGGAAUUUCCUGUGUAGCGGUGAAAUGCGUAGAGAUGGGAAGGAACACCAGUGGCGAAGCGACUGACUGGCUCGAUACUGACACUGAGUGCGAAGCGUGGGA
rnacentral:rRNA from 1 species